rnacentral:lncRNA from 1 species
GCACGUACAGGUUUUGCCCGUCUCCCGAUUGCCCUUCAGUUUAUCGUGUUGCUGAUCCUGAGACUCCUGGCGAGCUAUUUGUCUGUGGAGCAUGUUACACGGAGACUUGUACUAGGUGCCAUGGGGAGUAUCAUCCUUAUCUGUCAUGUGAGAAGUACCGGGAGUUCAAGGAAGAUCCAGAUAUAUCUUUGAAAGAGUGGUGCAAAGGGAAAGAGCAGGUAAAAACUUGCCCCGUAUGCGGAUAUACAAUCGAGAAGAUCGAUGGGUGUAACCAUAUCGAAUGCAAGUGUGGAAGACAUGUUUGCUGGGCCUGUUUAGAGGUCUUUACCUGCAGUGAUGAUUGUUAUAACCAUUUGAGGG